rnacentral:rRNA from 1 species
UACGUAGGGGGCAAGCGUUGUCCGGAUUUAUUGGGCGUAAAGAGCGUGUAGGCGGCCAGACAGGUCCGUUGUGAAAACUCGAGGCUCAACCUCGAGACGCCGAUGGAAACCGUCUGCUAGAGUCCGGAAGAGGAGAGUGGAAUUCCUGGUGUAGCGGUGAAAUGCGCAGAUAUCAGGAAGAACACCUAUGGCGAAGGCAGCUCUCUGGGACGGUACUGACGCUGAGACGCGAAAGCGUGGGGAGCGAACAGG